AACGAACGCUGGCGGCAUGCCUAACACAUGCAAGUCGAACGAGACCUUCGGGUCUAGUGGCGCACGGGUGCGUAACGCGGGGGAACCUGCCCUUAGGUUCGGAAUAACUCCCCGAAAGGGGUGCUAAUACCGGAUAAUGUCUUCGGACCAAAGAUUUAUCGCCUUUGGAUGGGCCCGCGUUGGAUUAGCUGGUUGGUAGGGUAAAAGCCUACCAAGGCGACGAUGCAUAGCUGGUCUGAGAGGAUGAUCCGCCACACUGGGACUGAGACCCGGCCCAGAAUCCUACGGGAGGGAGCAGUGGGGAAUAUUGGACGAUGGGCGAAAGCCUGAUCCAGCAAUGCCGCGUGAGUGAUGAAGGCCUUAGGGUUCUAAAGCUCUUUUACCCGGGAUGAUAAUGACAGUACCGGGAGAAUAAGCUCCGGCUAACUCCGUG
rnacentral:rRNA from 1 species